UACGUAGGCAGCGAGCGUUGUUCGGAAUUACUGGGCGUAAAGAGUGUGUAGGUGGUGAUCUAAGUCUGUCGUGAAAUCUCCCGGCUUAACUGGAGGGUGCGGCGGAAACUGGAUCGCUAGAGUAUGGGAGAGGUAAGCGGAAUUCCUGGUGUAGCGGUGAAAUGCGUAGAUAUCAGGAGGAACACCUGUGGUGUAGACAGCUUACUGGACCAUUUAUAGCGCUGAGACACGAAAGCGUGGGUAGCAAACAGG
rnacentral:rRNA from 1 species